rnacentral:misc_RNA from 1 species
GAACGCACAUUGCGCCCUUUGGUAUUCCGAAGGGCAUGCCUGUUCGAGCGUCAUUAUCACCCCUCAAGCCCUCGGCUUGGUGUUGGACGGUUUGGUGGAUAACCCCCUUUGCGGGCUUCUACCCCUCCCAAAGACAAUGACGGCGGCCUCGUUGGACCCCCGGUACACUGAGUUCUUCACGGGACACGUAUCGGACACACGGGUUUACGGGACACGGUCUGCCUCCCCUCAGGGAGAAUCUUUUUUUUAUCAAGGUUGACCUCGGAUCAGGUAGGGAUACCCGCUGAACUUA